rnacentral:rRNA from 1 species
UACGGGGGGGGCAAGCGUUGUUCGGAAUUACUGGGCGUAAAGGGCUCGUAGGCGGCCAACUAAGUCGGAUGUGAAAUCCCCAGGCUUAACCUGGGAACUGCAUCCGAUACUGGAUGGCUUGAAUCCGGGAGAGGGAUGCAGAAUUCCAGGUGUAGCGGUGAAAUGCGUAGAUAUCUGGAGGAAUACCGGUGGCGAAGGCGGCAUCCUGGACCGGCAUUGACGCUGAGGUGCGAAAAGCGUGGGGAGCAAACAGGG